AUGCUGCGAAAAACAAACGCAGAAGGAGUCACUAAGAGCACACCAGACGUCUCCACAACUGGCAACCUUGACGGGAUGUAGAAAUCCAGAUUUCAGAAUUGUCUUACAAGAUAUCCUUACACAAAGAUGGCACCAGGGCUGCUCAGGAGUGCUCACAGCACAGAACACUGCUCUUGAUGUUUAAGGAGAAUCUGGCAAAACACACCUAAUCCCUGAGUUAAUGGAACAAAGCAUCCAGUGGCGGCACGUGACAAAGAUGACACACCUACUGAAACAGAAAACACCAUUUAGAAAGCACAUUUAAGAACCCACCAGGGCGCCUGGGU